CCCCCCCCCCAGUUUUCCUUGGGACUGUGAAACUUAAUGUGCCAUCAGUACUGCAACGAUAUACUAUGUAGCCAUUGUUGCAUCUAACAGCGAUUUGUUGUUGCUAAUUUAAUAAUAGCUGUCAAGGGUCUAGGUAUUUCCAGGGAAUUAAUGACUGACUUGGAGAAGAGGAUGACAUAAAGCCAUUCUUCACAAAUGUCCAGUGGUGCCUGCUAUACUCUUAAUAAUCUUAUUUAUGAGAUUAAUUGUAAAAAGUACUCACUGUAAUAUUGCUUUCCCCACUUAAUAUGUACCUUGUGCAUAUUGUGUCAUACCACCAAAAGAUACAGUGUAUGUGGAAAAUGGAAACAAAACUAGCAAAAGUCCGUUUUUAUAGUGUUGAAGUAUUUCAAAAUUAAACGAUAGGGAUUUAAUGCAAGUCCAAAUGGACUUGCAUAAAGUAGGUCUUGUUAACAAUCUGAUUUAACUUUUUUAAAUUUUAAACAUCUGGUUGAUAAGGGUAACUGUAGAUUUAGUAUGCUUAAAAUUUUUCUAAUGUGCUUGACAAAUUACCAGUUUUUAAUCAGAAUGUGGUGGGGUACUAAGUAGUAUAAAUAGAAUGUACAUUAUUUAUUAUUUCUUACACGGAUUUAGAACUGGUUUAACUGAUGGAUCACAAAAAUGUCAGUAGUAUAUCAAGUGGAAAUUUAUCCAAUAUUCUGCAGGGAUUGGUAUUAGGCAUCACACAUUUUUAUUAAUUAUGUGAAGCAAGUAGACAGUCAUUGAUAAUAAAAGUUUUGGAAGAGUAGUGAAUAAUGAUGAGGGAUAAUCUGGUCCUUAAAAAACCCCCAAACAAAGCAAAGCAUCAUUUAAUGCAUCCAAAUGCAAAGUUACACAAUAAGGAACAAAAUGUAGCCUCUCCCUAUGAAAUAGAGGACAGUAUCCUGGAAAGCAGUGACUGAAGAAGAUUUAGGAGUGAUACAAGACAAACAACUUAACAUCACUUCUUAGUGCAGUGUUGUGGUAAAAGGGACUUAAGUGAUCCUGGUUGUAUAAGCAAGAUGCAAAUGAGUAGUCCUGUUUUUUAAAAAAGUGUUGUUUAACUAUGGAUAGUUUAGAAAAGAGCCUUCAAAAUAAUUUGAAGGUCUAGAGAAAAUGUCUUGCACUGAACAUUUGCAAGGGCAUAUUUUGUUUAGUUUUAUCAUAGGAGAUUGAGAAGUGAUAUUGAUUGCAGUAUAUAAAUACUUACAUAGGAAAGAAAUAUAAAAUAUUAGUGGACCCUUAAUUUAGGAGGAAGAAGACAUAACAAGAACCAAUGGUUGAGAAGCUGAAGCCACACCAACUGAAAUAAUGCACAGACUUAUAACAAAAAAAAAUUUGGAACAAGCUGUUAUGAGCAGUAGAUUUUUUUUUUUCUGUCUCUUGAUGUCUUCAGGUUGAAAGAGGUUGCCUUUCUGGUGGAUAUGCUUUAACCCGGGGUGUCAAAUGGGGUCAGAUCCAGCACACAUGACACCUACUCCAGCUCAUCUGAGACCCAGUAGGAAGAGGUCUUGAAUCCCUGUGGCUUGGCUUCCACCGCAGGAACAAGCUGUGGUGCUGUUAGGGCUCUAGCACCUCUGCUUUCACCUGGGUGCUUGGCAGCCAAAGCAAUGAGAGCUGUGGCUCUGGUGCCCCAGCAGCGUGGUAAAAAGAAGCCUGGCACUGUGGCUUGUUCCUGCAGUGGUAGCUGAGCGUCCAGAUGAGAGCUGCAGUGCUGGAGCCCCAGCAGCAUUGCAGGCACCUGGCUGCUGCCAUAGGAACAAGCCAUGGUGCCAGGUUUCUUCCCAUGGUACUGUUAGUGCUUGAUCAUUGUGGCUUUUGCUCAGGUGCUUGACUGCUACCUCAAGAAGGUCCCCACUUAUUAAGUCUGCAGACUGGAUCCAGUCCAUGAGCCAUAUAUUUGACACCCCUGCUUUAACCAAGGAGUGGUUUUGGCUCAAUAAUAGGAGCUAUUGAUUCAUAUGUAAUGGUUGAGAUAUAAAGGAAAUCAGACUAAAUGAUGUAAUAUUUUUUUCUGGCUUUAAGCUUUGUGUCUAUGAAAUUCAGGAAUAUUUCAGAGUUCAUAAUAUUAUAGGAAGACGUUCUAGAUUUAUAUUUAUCUAAAUUCAUCUUAUGCAAAUAAUUUAUAUAUGUGUGCAUUAAAAAUUUGGCCCGGGGUGGGGGGAGGGGGUUAAGUUGCUGUUUUUCGCUAGUAUGGUACAACUUUGUACCUGUAGGAUUUUUGUAGGACAUAAGUGGUUUUGGAAAUACAUUUAUUAAUUUACCAUUAUUCCAAUUACUGGUGAUGAAUUUUUUGCUGAACAUAAUGUAUAAGUUGAUAUGCAACAUUAUAAAAGUUGUAUUACUAAUGAGGCUAUACAUGCAAUCCUUAUAAAAGUAGCAUGAUUUGAUUUGGGGUUUAGAAUAUAAACAAAACUUCAAAUUUGUUGGGUGCAAAACAUGUAAUUCAGUACAAUUUUUUCAGUUUCCUCAUUUUAUGGUUGUCUGGAACUAGGUUUCAGUUCAGCUAGGAAACUAUUUUUUAUCUCCAUAUUUUAAAACAAUAUUUUAACAAAUAGUUAAUAUGUUUACAUACCAUCGGAUGUCAGGUAAAUCCCUUGAUAUAAUUUUGAGCCUGGAAAUAAAUCAGAUUUUCACUUUUUGUCUGUAGGACAUAGCACUUGGAGAAGAAUUUGACCCUCUUAACAUCCCUGAGAGGCAGACAAAUUAUAUGUUGCAUUAUACAAUAUAGGCUGGUGCUGUGGUACAUAACGUACACACUUCUUCUCUGCUUAUCAUUUUUAGGCUCUGUUGUAGAUGAAAUGUUUAAGAAGUUUUACAGCAGAUCAUUUCUUCUUUCAGUAUUCCAAUCAUUAUUUAGCAAAUCUCCAUCAGCAAGACAUCAGAAUAGUUUCUCAAAGUCUGACAUGUAGCAAUAAUAACUAGAUAAUCAUGCUUCUAGUCCCAGAAGAUAAAUAAAUGCCCAGAACAAAUAUUGCUCUGUUUCAAAAGUUAAAAAACUUCCUUUUUAUUGGAAAAGUGAUAGCAUUAAUAUGUCCUUGUAAGGGAUUUUAACGUGAUUUAUAUUUCAAACCAUAGAUAUGCAACCACCCAUUAUUUUGUUACAGUAUCACUAAAAAAUGUUAAUUUUUACUAGAUUUUUUGUAUGCAACAGCAGUAGUUUUAAGAAAAUAGAUUUUUAGGUGAACAAAAUUUAUAUUUUAAUGUAUUUUGCCCAUAUAUGUAUGUAAGGGUAUAUUUUACUUCACAAGUAUUUGCAGUCAAAUGGCUAUAAACUUUCAGAUUUUAGGAGACGGUGUUAUUAUAUAAAUAUAUAUAUAUAUGAUCUUCUUUCCUAUUUUUUUAGCAUAGAAUUGAUUAAUCUUCCUUCUGUUAAAUGUGCACUCUGCAACUGAAAUGUGCAGUUACAGGAUAUCUAGUUGCAUGCAAUACUGUGGAACCUGUAGUCAACUGCUUUUGUAUAUCAGGGGUGCCAGUGUUACCCUGCACCCCAGGCCAGUUCUGGAGGAGGCCAGGCAAGUGGCAGCAGAGAUUAACACCAGCUGCUGCUCACUGUCCGCCACUGACUUGGACCUAGGUGUAGAGCCGGCUACCUUCUCUCUCUCUCUCUGAAAAACAUAGAUUUGGGGUUUUAAAAUAAGAGAAUUUGGGAUUUUUGUAUCAGAAAAUUUGGGAUUUUUCAUAAGAGAAAACCAAGAUUCCUGCUAAUUAGUAGAGAUAACUAUGGCACUAGAUAAAUGCUGUAAAGUGCACGAUCUAUUAAAAUAACUUAUUUUUCUCAGUCACCUCUCCAAAUGAAGCAGGCCUAGCAUUGAUGUGAAACUAAAAAUAGAUAAAAAAUGAGAACAUCUUUUCUGAACUACCACAUAUGCAAGCAUGAAGCUCUCUUUAUUUGCAGAUUUAGAACUUGAAAAAUGCUUUUGAAGAGCCCAUUCAAAAUCUUGUCUUUUCCUGUGAUAAGUCUUGUACUAGUUCUGUCUACUUUUUCAAAAACACAAUGAAAGUAAACAACAAAGCAAGUCUGUAAAAGUGAACUAAAAUGCAAAGCAUGUCUGCAUAGGCAGUGAGAUGAAAUGGUUACUAUGGAGCCAACAAACUCAGCUUCCAAGUCGCAGACUUGUCUUUACCAAGUCAUAUAUCCUUCAUACUGUGCUAAGUUUUAUUCUCUUCUGAAAGAGAAUCCCAUUUAAAAGCUCUGAACAGCUUUUAAAUGGGACUGCAACAUAUAGAAUACCAUGCAAACACUUGCAAGAUACAGUUUGAGUUUGGCAAAUUCAGAAAAUAUGCUGUACAUGCAUUUCCUGUCAUGGCAUUUUUAUUUCUUUAAAAACUGGCUUUUGGUUAUAAAAUAUGGCAACUGCAGUUAUAAUCUCAUUAUGAAUAUAUAGCAGAGUACUAUUACUAAUAUACAUUAAUUUCACUGACAUAAAUAUAUUGGCACAGAUUUUAUGCAUUUCUGGGUGAUUCUCCAAAUGAAGUUUGUAACCAACAAGGUAUAAAAGAACUGUACAUACUGUGCUUCUUAGUUUCUUUGUAUAGUAUAUGAAUUUCCUGCCUGAAGAAGUCUGUUCCCACACUCCAUAUAAUGUUUUGUUAUUUCUGCCAUGGUUGGGUUUUUGUGCCUAAUAUAAUUUUGAUUUUUUUUUUUUACCUUGGAUAUCGAGUUAAACAACUUUUAAUUUUGUUUGGAACAUGUCACAAGAAAUUGCCUAUUUUCCCAUUAAAAUACUUUGAAAACUGCUUACAAAA